rnacentral:rRNA from 1 species
CUACGUGCCAGCAGCCGCGGUAAUACGUAGGUCCCGAGCGUUGUCCGGAUUUAUUGGGCGUAAAGCGAGCGCAGGCGGUUUGAUAAGUCUGAAGUUAAAGGCUGUGGCUCAACCAUAGUUCGCUUUGGAAACUGUCAAACUUGAGUGCAGAAGGGGAGAGUGGAAUUCCAUGUGUAGCGGUGAAAUGCGUAGAUAUAUGGAGGAACACCGGUGGCGAAAGCGGCUCUCUGGUCUGUAACUGACGCUGAGGCUCGAAAGCGUGGGGAGCGAACAGGAUUAGAUACCCUGGUAGUCCACGCCGUAAACGAUGAGUGCUAGGUGUUGGAUCCUUUCCGGGAUUCAGUGCCGCAGCUAACGCAUUAAGCACUCCGCCUGGGGAGUACGACCGCAAGGUUGAAACUCAAAGGAAUUGACGGGGGCCCGCACAAGCGGUGGAGCAUGUGGUUUAAUUCGAAGCAACGCGAAGAACCUUACCAGGUCUUGACAUCCCGAUGCUAUUUCUAGAGAUAGAAAGUUACU